CUUCAGUCCGCAGACAGACGCUCUAUCCACUGAGCCAAACCGGUUUUGCUUUUUUCUUAGUCUUUUUAUAUAAAUAACUGAUGAACCAAUUAUUUUCUCUCACUUCUGCAAAGCCAAAGUCAUUGAAAUUGAUUCCAGAUUUAGCAUUUUUAAGAAUAAUCACUCAAACAUAUACAAAAUUAUUUAAUAUUUUUGAAGAAUUAUAGGAAUAUGAAAGCUAAAUUUUAUAUUCUUGCACUUUUUGAUAUUAGAAAGUCCAAAGACAUUAUAAAGUAUUUUUCUUGCUAACCCAUGUAAGAAUUAUAAUGUGCAGAAAAGAUGAGAGAUUUUUUUGUGCAGGAAAUAACUGUGUUUCAGACUGUAAUUGCUUUUGAAUUCCUGUUAUUUUCCCUUGAAAAGAAAACAGAA